rnacentral:rRNA from 1 species
AGAGAUUAAAGAUUUAUCGGUGAUGGAUGGGGAUGCGUCUGAUUAGCUUGUUGGCGGGGUAACGGCCCACCAAGGCAACGAUCAGUAGGGGUUCUGAGAGGAAGGUCCCCCACAUUGGAACUGAGACACGGUCCAAACUCCUACGGGAGGCAGCAGUGAGGAAUAUUGGUCAAUGGACGAGAGUCUGAACCAGCCAAGUAGCGUGCAGGAAGACGGCCCUAUGGGUUGUAAACUGCUUUUAUAAGGGAAUAAAGUGAGUCUCGUGAGACUUUUUGCAUGUACCUUAUGAAUAAGGACCGGCUAAUUCCGUGCCAGCGGCCGCGGUAAUACGGAAGGUCCGGGCGUUAUCCGGAUUUAUUGGGUUUAAAGGGAGCGUAGGCCGGAGAUUAAGCGUGUUGUGAAAUGUAGAUGCUCAACAUCUGAACUGCAGCGCGAACUGGUUUCCUUGAGUACGCACAAAGUGGGCGGAAUUCGUGGUGUAGCGGUGAAAUGCUUAGAUAUCACGAAGAACUCCGAUUGCGAAGGCAGCUCACUGGAGCGCAACUGACGCUGAAGCUCGAAAGUGCGGGUAUCGAACAGGAUUAGAUACCCUGGUAGUCCGCACGGUAAACGAUAGAUGCCCGCUGUUGGUCUGAAUAGGUCAGCGGCCAAGCGAAAGCAUUAAGCAUUCCCACCUGGGGAGUACGCCGGCAACGGUGAAAAUCAAAGGAAUAGACGGGGGCCCGCACAAGCGGAGGAACAAGUGGUUUAAUUUGAUGAUACGCGAGGAACCUUACCCGGGCUUGAAUUGCAGAGGAAGGAUUUGGAGACAAAGACGCCCUUCGGGGCCUCUGUGAAGGUGGUGCAUGGUUGUCGUCAGCUCGUGCCGUGAGGUGUCGGGUUAAGUGCCAUAACGAGCGCAACCCCUCUCCUUAGUUGCCAUCAGGUCAUGCUGGGCACUCUGGGGACACUGCCACCGUAAGGUGUGAGGAAGGUGGGGAGGACGUCAAAUCAGCACGGCCCUUACGUCCGGGGGUACACACGUGUUACAAUGGCAGGUACAGAGAGACGGUCCCUUGCAAAAUGGAUCAAAUCCUUAAAGCCUGUCUCAGUUCGGAGUGGGGGGUGCAACCCGACCCCCCGAAGCUGGAUUCGCUAGUAAUCGCGCAUCAGCCAUGGCGCGGAGAAAAAGUUCCCGGGCCUUGCACA